GCCCGGGGCGCCCGACCUCUCGCCCGUCUGGGGACCUUGCACCCCGCAGGAGCAAGGCGUGGGGUGGAGAAACAGUGUUCCCCCCUCACCCAAAGGACGCGCCAUCUGCCGCCUCAUCGGGACGUGGGCGCUUUCUCCCCGCUGCCUGCCUGCUUGCCCGCCCCAGCCACGCAGAUGGUUCCGCGCGCUUUCAGGGGAGAAGGAGAGCGAGGUGCCGUCGAAUAGCCCGCCUGAAGCAGCAGCAGCAGCGAGCUAAGCCAGCGACCUGGAGAACUACGAGCAGACUGGCUGCGCUGAAGGAAGAAUUUCCUCCGCCCGCUUUAUUCCCCGGGAAAGGGAGCAGAAUGGAGGGAGGCAAAGUGGCCGAAAGUGGCCCCGCGUGCUGAAAGCAAAGCAAACUAACCACAAAUGGAAUAACAGAGCGCGGGGAGAUCUCUCUGCAAUAGUCCGGAUUUGUUGCUCUUGCUUUUCUUUUUCUUAAAAAAAAAAAACCCUCUCUUGAGUGGAUCGGGGCGUCGCUGAGCAGCCAAAGGGCGGAGGGGCUGCGGGACUAACUUGCUUUUUCGGAGGGGCGAAAGAAAAAGAGAGAAGGUUGAAAGCGGCGUUUUUCUCUUUCGCGCAACCCCCCCCCCCUUAACGUUUUGUACGGUUGUGGUUUGGAAACCGUGCAAAGCAGAUCUAUAGCACAACCCCCAAAUUCCGCCCCCGUUGGCCUUCUGGUUUGUUUGGAACUCGCCUCCGAAUCCUAUUUAGACACAUAAAAGUAGCCCGCUCUCUUUUGAACCAGCGCUGUCUCCUCUCUCUCCCGCCCCCAUGCCACUGGAUGCUGCAGGCGAAUUUGGGAUUUGUAAGCGAUGCAAGUCCGAUAAAGCUGGAGUUUCCCUCCGGGACCUGAAGGAGGAUCGCUAGGUGGUUCCUUAAGGAAGCGGGUCUGCAGGAUGAAUAAAAGAUACUUACAGAAAGCCACAAAAGGAAAACUGCUAAUAAUAAUAUUUGUUGUAACACUGUGGGGCAGAAUAGCAUCUGGGGCAAACCACCACAAAGCUCAUCAUGUUAAAACUGGAACUUGUGAAGUGGUGGCUCUCCACCGAUGUUGUAAUAAGAACAAGAUAGAAGAAAGAUCGCAGACAGUCAAGUGCUCCUGCUUCCCUGGGCAGGUAGCAGGUACCACUCGAGCAGCUCCUUCUUGCGUUGAUGCUUCAAUAGUGGAACAAAAAUGGUGGUGCCACAUGCAGCCAUGUCUUGAAGGGGAAGAAUGCAAAGUUCUUCCAGAUCGAAAAGGAUGGAGUUGUUCUUCCGGCAAUAAAGUGAAAACAACAAGGGCAAACGUGUAAAACCCUUCAAGAACAAGGAGAUUUCUGCUGUGCCUGGUGACAAUUUUUGUUUAUUCCACAUACACACACACACAAUAUUCUGGCUCCACGUUUGGGGCAAUAGUUGUCAUGAAUCCUACUAUUGGUCGGAUUCUCAGGAAGGGCCAGAAGGUUCGUUGAGGAGUAAAGAAUCAAAACCUCUCCUGAAAGAUGUUACAGCCUUGCUUUGUUACUCACAGAGCAGCAGGUAACUCGAUAGCAAAAGACAAAUCAGAUCACACUCGAGGCUGAUAACAUUAAAUACAGCCAAGUAGGAAGUUUUAAUAUCCAACUUAACAAUCCUUGAGGCCAGGCUUGGGACUGCUGGGGCAUACUAAUUAUUUCAAAGAGAACAUUCGCUGUAAUCAGCAGCCACUUGAGAUCAAAAUGGCUGGAAAGUCACACACACAAGAUUUCGACGGAAUGAACUGUGUACAUUUGUAAAAAUAGCAAAAACAUGAAGGGAUAUAUGGCCGAAGAAGGGAUGCUUAAAGGACGCCGAAGAAAUAGCAAUCCUUUGGAUCCUUGCAUUGAGACUUGUGGCGUUUCACCUCGAUGAAAGCAGUAUACUUUGAAAUGUACUGAUCCAUUUCCUCUGGAACUUUCCUGGUCCUCCAUGCAAAUUAUUGGUGGGACUGUGCACUGUUGUAAUCAAACCACUGUUCCAGAAAUUGUCCUCUGACACAGCACAGUUUUAGACACGUUUAAUUUGUAUUCUAAUUCUGAAGCUCCAAGGCUACAUAUUUCAACAUGUCGAAGUUGCUUUUCUUAUAGGAAUGGAAAUACUAUAUAUCCAUCGUUAAUCAUUAUUGUUGGCAAGUAGUAGUUAUCUGAAUACGUCACCCAUAUACGAAUGUAUCAUUAGUCAGACAUGUUUCCCUAUGACUAACCAACUACCGCAAUUCCUUUCGGACAAAUAAAGGGUGAUCGAGACAGAAUGUUCAAGCCCUUCCAAUAACAUGCUAUUAAAAUAAUCAGUUCCGUAUAAUUUCAAGAAGAUGGGUGUUUUUUUGCAUACACUUUGGUUUAUUAUCAUUAGGUCCUACAAAGAUUAUGGUAAAAAAUAAAUGGCGCUAGUUAGUCCCUUCAUGAAAAUAGACGGGUGCAUGUUAAUUUUUCCAUUCUGAGGUUCAGUGGUAUUCAUUCAGAUACGUUUUUUAGGUUUUUGGGUUUUGUUGCUUGAAAAAAAAUAUUACUAUCUGGAUGCUUAAGUAGAUGUCUGUUUCUUGAUAGGACAAAAUAGGUUUCUUCAAAUCUGGAAUCCAUUGAAGAUUUCCUUGGCCACUCCAGGUACAUUGAGUUCAUUCUGUAGUUAUUUUGUUGAACCAGAAGUUCUUUUCUAUCUCUUAUUUCAGUAUCUAUUUUUUAAUCUUGGUGAUCUACUGUUUCAUGAAAAAUCUUAAUGUUUAAAUGCCUUAAGCAGCUGUAAACUUUUUUUUCUAAGUUAUUACAGAAUGUAUAAUUUUAUAUUCCAUUUAAUAUAUUUACCAUGCUAUGUGGAAAUAUGAAGACAGAACGAAUGGUUUCUUUUGCAUUCCAUACUGAUGUUGCAAGUUAGUCUUAGAGAAGGCAAAGAGAAGGCAAAUUUUUACUCCAUUUGUUUUGGGAGGUAAUAUGAAAACUACACAAACUCAAUCCUAACAGAAAGAGUUAUGCCCAGAACCUCAAGUUGUUUCAAGUGGUUACUAAUAUUUGUGGGGAAAGGGAACUCUUUCCCAUUGUAACAAAUAUUUGGCGUGGCUAAUUAGAAAUAAAUUGGGUUCUAUGAUGAAUGAACACCCUGAGGUACUUUUUCCUGUCAUGUGAUACAAGAUUGUUCCACAACAAUUUCAUUACCUCUGUUGUAUUAUGGCACUGGAUGAAAGAAAACAAAUGAUAGCUGAAAAUCAAUCUGAAAUGUAUAGUAUAUAAUUCUGCUACAGAGUAAUCCAAAUUUUUGCAGAAGGGGUAUUCUUGUUAAUUAAAUUUUAAUUAGGAUAAAUUGAUUGUAGCAUCAGUUAGCAGUCUUGAUAUUUUAACAGGAUUAAUAUUGUAUGGAUUCGUUUUUUAAAGGUAUGUGUAACGGAGAAACACAGAAUUCAAAAAAUAUGAUUAAUUCCUUUGCUUGGGAUAGUAAAAAGUAUAAAUGUGUAAUUUUGUAGCAGUUAUGAGUUUGGCUUUAAUUUAGCCAAAAAAUCUACAACAUGCUUCUCAACAUUUUCCCCCCUUUGUGUUUAUUCUUAAAACCAACACUGAAAAUAUUGUAUUAUAUACAAGUGUAAGACAUGCAUAUCAAUAGGUGAAAAAUAAAUGGAUUUUCGAAUAUACUGAA